GAUGAACGCUGGCGGCGUGCCUAAUACAUGCAAGUCGAGCGAACAGACGAGGAGCUUGCUCCUCUGACGUUAGCGGCGGACGGGUGAGUAACACGUGGAUAACCUACCUAUAAGACUGGGAUAACUUCGGGAAACCGGAGCUAAUACCGGAUAAUAUAUUGAACCGCAUGGUUCAAUAGUGAAGGACGGUUUUGCUGUCACUUAUAGAUGGAUCCGCGCCGCAUUAGCUAGUUGGUAAGGUAACGGCUUACCAAGGCAACGAUGCGUAGCCGACCUGAGAGGGUGAUCGGCCACACUGGAACUGAGACACGGUCCAGACUCCUACGGGAGGCAGCGGUAGGGAAUCUUCCGCAAAGGGCGAAAGCCUGACGGAGCAACGCCGCGUGAGUGAUGAAGGUCUUCGGAUCGUAAAACUCUGUUAUUAGGGAAGAACAAAUGUGUAAGUAACUAUGCACGUCUUGACGGUACCUAAUCAGAAAGCCACGGCUAACUACGUG
rnacentral:rRNA from 1 species